rnacentral:lncRNA from 1 species
AUUUUUCAAAAAUCGAAUAAUGAUGAUGGCGAGGGCACACCAAGCUAAGUGCUACCAUUUAUUUUCUUCACAAACCAACACCCAAGACCCAAACCUAAAUAAAAAAGAAAAACUACAACACACACCUAACCCAAAUACACUUUUCCUACAAACAAAACCCAACACCCCUAACCCAAAUAAAAACCCAAAUCCACUUAAUAUACCUACCCCAUGGCAAAUACCAAUCCAACACCCAAAUAACACUAAUUACCCAAAACCUAAAAAUAUAACCUAAAUACCCAAAAUUCAAACAAGGCCAACGAAACCCAAAAGAAAAAAAAGCAACAGAGAGAAGGAUUGGGCCAAACAACAAAAUAAGGCCAAAAGAGAAAAAAAGAGGAGAAAAAGAACAAAAAUAAAAAAGGCCUAAAUCGGCCAAAAAGAAGAGUAAAAUAAGAAAAAAAAUCAAAAUCUCGAAACCCCCACCCUUCUUCCUCACCUUUCUUCUUUUCUUCUCAACAGAAAAAACCCUAACCCCUUUAACACCAUAGCAUCACCACCCUAACCGCCUACGCCACCAGCCAACACCAUUGUUCUACCCUUCAUUCUCUCCCUCACGCUCGGAAAACCCCGCACCCAACCAACUCAAAAUGGUGUAGAUUUGCGAGCACUAUCGCCCAUUUCAUCUUUCUCAUCACCAC